rnacentral:snoRNA from 1 species
AAUCCGUGUUGUAGGUAUUGGCGAAGUAAAUCCUUGUAUCAUUCUGAAGCCUGUGAAUAGCAUUUUGAGUCCAUUUGCUGAAAAGUAGUGAUCUCGUCCCUUAGCUU